CUUUUGUGCACAAUCCUUGCUCUCGUCUGAGGGUACCCAAUUUGUGAGCGGGGUGGGGAGUGUUACCUGCAGUCAUGGCAGCCUCAGUUGCCUCCGUUGGGUGCAAGGUCGCUGCCUCAUUGGCCUCGACCACCAAGCUCGAGAAGACCUCCGCUGUUAGGUCGACCUCUGUAAACAACGCCUUCGGCCUCAAGCCCUCCGCCGCCCGCGUCUCCUGCAGCUUAGGUGAGAAUGUGAAGAGCGUCGUGGACAGCGCCAAGGCUGCUGCCAUCGUCUUGGCAUCGUCUGCUCUCGUUGCUGGGGUGAGAUCUCUUCCGUAUCCUACUAUUUAAUGCAUUCUCUUUUCUCAUUCCACGAAGAGAACUCGUUUACUAGUUGGAUCACUGCGCGCUGAGGGAGUAUCAGGGUUAAUUAACUAUUAUUUCUACGUCACACCGCCCAGAUUUUUGCAAAAGAGUGGUCAGAUUGGGGCAAUAAUCAUAGUUGAAUAUAAUUUUCAGUGUUUUCGAGUAUCUCAAUGCUGGUUUUUUCUUCCAUUCUGAAACUUAUGGGGUUGUACAACUUGCCGUUGGCGAUAUUGUUACUCUUGUUACUCAUACUCCCGAUAUCAUGUGCUCAGGCUUCCUUUGCUGAGGGAGUGCCACAAAGGUUGACCUUCGACGAGAUCAACGCCCAGACCUACUUGGACGUGAAGGGCUCAGGAACAGCCAACCAGUGCCCCAUUGUUGCCGAGGGUUCCGACAAGUUCAACUUAAAGGAUGGCAACUACCAGAUGAAGAAGCUGUGUCUCGAGCCCACCUCCUUCACUGUCAAGGCUGAGUCCCAGUUCAAGCAAGGUGGCGAGGACUACCAGCCUACCAAGCUGAUGACCCGCUUGACUUACACCUUGGACGAGAUUGAGGGUCCAUUGACCAUCAGCAACGGCAAUCUGAAGUUUGAGGAGAAGGAUGGCAUCGACUACGCUGCCGUGACUGUGCAACUCCCAGGGGGCGAGAGGGUUCCUUUCCUCUUCACCAUCAAGGAGUUGGUUGCAACUGGAAAGCCUGAGGCAUUCGGUGGAUCCUAUUUGGUGCCCUCAUACAGAGGAUCGUCUUUCUUGGACCCCAAGGGCAGGGGUGGAUCUACCGGAUACGAUAACGCCGUGGCACUUCCUGCCGGAGGAGCUGGUGAUGAGGAAGAGCUUGCGAAGGAGAAUGAGAAGAACACCGCUGCUUUGAAUGGAAAC
rnacentral:lncRNA from 1 species